rnacentral:rRNA from 1 species
ACGCUGGCGGCGUGCCUAACACAUGCAAGUCGUGCGAGAAGUUCCUUCGGGAGCGAGUAAAGCGGCGCACGGGUGAGUAACACGUAGGUAACCUGCCCCCCAGUCUGGAACAACUAGAGGAAACUCUAGCUAAUGCCGGAUGAGACCACGAUCCCUUCGGGGGUUGCGGCCAAAGAUGGCCUCUACUUGUAAGCUAUCGCUGAGGGAUGGGCCUGCGGGCCAUUAGCUUGUUGGUGAGGUAACGGCUCACCAAGGCUGUGAUGGCUAGCUGGUCUGAGAGGAUGACCAGCCACACUGGGACUGAGACACGGCCCAGACUCCUACGGGAGGCAGCAGUGGGGAAUAUUGCGCAAUGGGCGAAAGCCUGACGCAGCGACGCCGCGUGGGUGAUGAAGGCCUUCGGGUCGUAAAGCCCUGUCGCAGGGGAAGAAUAAGCAUCGGUAUAAUACGCCGGUGCCCUGACGGUACCCAGCAAGAAAGCACCGGCUAACUCCGUG